AAUACUUGAAAACGGAACUUGCAACAGUGAAACAAAAUCAAGCUUGACAGAAGAAAAACAACGACACCAAUUUGUAGAUAGCUUGAUGAUAAUGAACGUUGUUCAAGCACCUAGCGCACGCUCGAAAAUUUUGGAUGAAGACUCGUUGACCAAUGAAAACACGACUUAUUCCAAGCAUGUUGAUGAUAAUAAAAGCUCUAGCGAGGACGAGGCUCCAAUACAAAAUAAUAACACCGAGUCGUCUAAAGAUAUGUUCAAAAGAAAUAUCGAUAAAUCACAUGAAUAUACAGUUUGGAAAAUCGUUGGCUUACGAGAACGAGGAAUCUGAUAUCGAAAGUGAAGAGGAAGCAAUCACCAAAAAAGAAAUGCGAGAAGAUUCAAAGCUUACUCCGUAAAGUUUGUGUAUACAGAUGUAUUAUUGUGAAAAGAGUACUCUAUGGAAUUUUAUUGACGUGGGAUAGUACAAGUAUUGUUUGUAAAAUAUAAUUAUUUGGAUGUGAUUGUACAUUGAGGUAGUUAAUAUACUUGUCAGUUUUCAACUUGGUACACCAAGCAGGAACAAAGAAUUACGAGAAGUGAUUUUCGUCAAAUAACGACCAAUGAUGUCAGUUGAAAACUUGGAAGACAGCUUUGAAAAAGAAUUAUAACAAAUAAAUUAAAAAUUACGUUUACAACAUUGCCAUUUGCCACUGAAGAAAUUAAAAUGGCAAGGAACUACCUAUAAGUGGUUUCCUUUUUUUCCCAUAAGAGUGAGCAAAUAAUUACAGGCAAAGUUGGCAAAAUUUCCGUUUUUAAAAAAUCCUA